rnacentral:tRNA from 1 species
GAGGUGUAAGCGAAGUGGCUACACUGCCGGUCUCCCAAAACCGGACCCGGAGGUUCGAGUUCUCCCACCCUCGCCA